UGGUUAGAAUACCUGCCUGUCACGCAGGGGGUCGCGGGUUCGAGCCCCGUCCGUUCCGCCA
rnacentral:tRNA from 7 species